UAUGGCCAUGCCACCCUGAACACGCCCGAUCUCAUCUGAUCUUGUAAGCUAAGCAGGGUCGGGCCUGGUUAGCACUUGGAUGGGAGACAGCUAAGCUAGAGAAAGAUAAGGUAGUGGGCAUAC
rnacentral:rRNA from 1 species